rnacentral:rRNA from 1 species
ACCUGCCCUAUGAAUAAAUUUUGGAAUGGCUGCCGUGUUUUUACCCUGCAAAGGUAGCAUAAUAAUUAGUUUCUUAAUUGGGAACUGAAAUGAAUGGUCGAACGAGAAAAAUACUGUCUCAAUUUAAUUUUAAUUAGAAUUUUAUUUUUAAGUAAAAAAGCUUAAAUAUUCUUAAAAAACGAGAAGACCCUAUAGAGUUUUAUAUUAAUUAUUAUAAUUGAAAGUUAAAGUAUUUAAGAUUUAGUUAUAAUAAUUAAUAUUUAACUGGGGCGAUAGAAAAAUUUAAUUAACUUUUUUUAAAAGUAUACCAUUAAUUUAUGAGUAAGUGAUAACCAUAUUUUAUGAUUGCAAGAUU